UACAGAGGUGGCAAGCGUUGUUCGGAAUUACUGGGCGUAAAGGGCGCGUAGGCGGCCUUGUAAGUCUCGUGUGAAAGCCCUCGGCUUAACUGAGGAUCUGCACGGGAUACUGCGGGGCUUGAGUUCGGGAGAGGAAAGCGGAAUUCCGGGUGUAGCGGUGAAAUGCGUAGAUAUCCGGAGGAACACCAGUGGCGAAGGCGGCUUUCUGGACCGACACUGACGCUGAUGCGCGAAAGCUAGGGGAGCAAACGGG
rnacentral:rRNA from 1 species